GGGUUUUCUAAUUACAUAAGUCAGAAGUAGAAAAAGGGACACAAACUAAGAAGGGUGCUGAGCGCUCGUCACCUGGAGGGACUUGUGCCUCUCUCAGUGGUAGUAGAGGGGCUACUUCUUCCUGCCACGGUCAUGAUUGAGAGGCAACGGGUGGCGAGUCUACAGGGGACGUCGUCGAGCAGACAUGGGAUAACUUUAAGGGAGAAGACAGACAAGGGGAGGGGCUCCUGUGAUGGGAUCAGUCAGAUGCCUGCCUGGCCGCUCCCCCUGAGGGGACUUGGGCUCCUCUUAACAUUGGCAGGCUGGUAUAAACUUCCGGCUCAGAUCAAGCUAUGCCUGAUGCUGCCUUAAGCCUUAUGAGGUCGCCACGGAACCGCAGAAACUCCUGGAGGGCAGAGCUGUGUCUGCCAUCUUCAUCAUUGCAUUACCACCACCAAGCACAGUGCCUGGCACAAAAGAGUUGCUCAAUAAAUAAAUCAGGAUGAAUGGAUAAAUACAUGGAUAGGCACUUUGAGCUACAGAUGAGUUUAAAUACUUUGUGUUUUUCUUAGUCAAACAUGUGCAAUUAAGCAUGUGAUAAAUGAUAUGAUGACCACACCUGUGUGUUGCCUGAUGUUCUUUGCAAUCACUAAAUGAAGUCAAUUGUGCCUGUUUUGACAGUUCUGUUUUCAACCUAAUGAUCUGUUUCUUUUAACUUCUGGCUGUUGGCUUUGUUUGGGUUUGUUAGCCUGACAAAGUGGCAGACAUUAGUAUUUGCUCUUUUGUUUAAAUGUCAUGAACUUUAAAAAUGCCUUUGCUUUUGGUAAGAAACCCUAGUUAGGACAGUCUAGCAGUCAGGAUGAUUUGGGUUCUGGUGCAGUAACAACAAUCCCCAAAUCUCAGUGGAUUCAUAUAGUGAGGUAUUUGUUUGUUUGUUUGUUUUUUCAGACAGGGUCUCACUCUGUCACCCAGACUAGAGUGCAAUGGUGCAACCUCAGCUCACUGCAACCUCUGCCUCCCAGACUCAAGCGAUUCUCCUGCCUCCUGAGUAGCUGGGAUUACAGGCCUGUGCCACUACUGUCUCACUAAUUUUUGUACUUUAGUAGAGACAGGAUAUCACCAUGUUAGCCAGGCUGAUCUUGAACUCCUGACCUGAAAUGAUCCACCCGCCUUGGCCUCCCAAAGUGCUGGGAUGACAGGCAUGAGCCACCAUGCCUGGCCACAGUGAGGCUUAUUCUUGGUCACGUUGCAUGUCUGGGCUGUGUUAGGGCAUUGUGGGGUGGUCUGUUCAUUGUGUUCACUCAGGGAUCCAGGCUGACAAAAGCCCCAUCUCUGAAUGUGUCCUUGAUCACCACUUCAGGGGAAAGGGAAUGUGGUGGAUCACACAGCCUUUUAACACUUCCACCUGGAGGUGACUCAAGUUGCUCUUGCUCAUGGUUCAUUGGACAAAGCAGAUCACAGAGA
rnacentral:lncRNA from 10 species